rnacentral:snRNA from 1 species
GAAAAAUCCACAAUUAUAACAAG